GUUAUCAUUAAUAAUAUUACAUUUAGUUUUCCUUUUUUUCUAUUUCUAGCACUUCAAGAGUUGUGAUACUUGUAGUAUCUCUUAGUGGCUUUAUUAUGUGUGCCUGAUCCCAUUUGAUGUCAAUGUUUUUCUCACAUGCUGUAACAGCCAGUGCCAUAACUAACUUUCCAGUCUGUAUGUUGUGCUUAUGUUCCUUUACUCAUUUUAGCCAAACUUCUCCUCAUGCUACCAAUAUAGAACUGGGAGCAUUCAUCUUCUAUGUAUUCCAUGGGGAUGGAGUAAAUACCAGCUUUUUUAAGGUACUGAGGAGGGACUUGAAUGGUUGUCUGAAAAUGUUAUACCUUAAUAAACGUUGUUAUACUUGCUGAAAAUGCUUGGUUUUUUCAAAAUAAUAGGCG
rnacentral:lncRNA from 1 species